rnacentral:ncRNA from 1 species
AAAAAAUCGAUGAUCAAGAGAGUAAGGGUAGAGGGAACUUAACAGCGAGUAGGGAAUGGUGAAAGCCUACAGGAACAUCUAUUCUGAAGCGCACUUGUGAGAGCUUAUCUGAACCAAAAAGUAGGAUAAGACGCCUGCCUGCGUUAAAGGUUAAAGGGAAACAUAUUUUGUUAUAUGUUUAACUGGAGUGGUACCGCGGUCUUAAUCGUCUCUAGA